CCUCUUGACGAAACUCGCUAGUCGUUAGCAUGACUGGCGGGUUUCGUCUUUCAUUUUGGCGACAUUGAAUUUCAUUUUCUCGCCGCAAAAUUUGUGAGGCC
rnacentral:sRNA from 1 species